GUACACAAAAAUGCACAUACUGUGAGCUCGAUGAGUAGGGCGGGACACGUGGUAUCCUGUCUGAAUAUGGGGGGACCAUCCUCCAAGGCUAAAUACUCCUGACUGACCGAUAGUGAACCAGUACCGUGAGGGAAAGGCGAAAAGAACCCCGGCGAGGGGAGUGAAAAAGAACCUGAAACCGUGUACGUACAAGCAGUGGGAGCCUCUUAAUGGGGUGACUGCGUACCUUUUGUAUAAUGGGUCAGCGACUUAUAUUCUGUAGCAAGGUUAACCGAAUAGGGGAGCCGAAGGGAAACCGAGUCUUAACUGGGCGUUAAGUUGCAGGGUAUAGACCCGAAACCCGGUGAUCUAGCCAUGGGCAGGUUGAAGGUUGGGUAACACUAACUGGAGGACCGAACCGACUAAUGUUGAAAAAUUAGCGGAUGACUUGUGGCUGGGGGUGAAAGGCCAAUCAAACCGGGAGAUAGCUGGUUCUCCCCGAAAGCUAUUUAGGUAGCGCCUCGUGAAUUCAUCUCCGGGGGUAGAGCACUGUUUCGGCAAGGGGGUCAUCCCGACUUACCAACCCGAUGCAAACUGCGAAUACCGGAGAAUGUUAUCACGGGAGACACACGGCGGGUGCUAACGUCCGUCGUGAAGAGGGAAACAACCCAGACCGCCAGCUAAGGUCCCAAAGUCAUGGUUAAGUGGGAAACGAUGUGGGAAGGCCCAGACAGCCAGGAUGUUGGCUUAGAAGCAGCCAUCAUUUAAAGAAAGCGUAAUAGCUCACUGGUCGAGUCGGCCUGCGCGGAAGAUGUAACGGGGCUAAACCAUGCACCGAAGCUGCGGCAGCGACACUAUGUGUUGUUGGGUAGGGGAGCGUUCUGUAAGCCUGUGAAGGUGUACUGUGAGGUAUGCUGGAGGUAUCAGAAGUGCGAAUGCUGACAUAAGUAACGAUAAAGCGGGUGAAAAGCCCGCUCGCCGGAAGACCAAGGGUUCCUGUCCAACGUUAAUCGGGGCAGGGUGAGUCGACCCCUAAGGCGAGGCCGAAAGGCGUAGUCGAUGGGAAACAGGUUAAUAUUCCUGUACUUGGUGUUACUGCGAAGGGGGGACGGAGAAGGCUAUGUUGGCCGGGCGACGGUUGUCCCGGUUUAAGCGUGUAGGCUGGUUUUCCAGGCAAAUCCGGAAAAUCAAGGCUGAGGCGUGAUGACGAGGCACUACGGUGCUGAAGCAACAAAUGCCCUGCUUCCAGGAAAAGCCUCUAAGCAUCAGGUAACAUCAAAUCGUACCCCAAACCGACACAGGUGGUCAGGUAGAGAAUACCAAGGCGCUUGAGAGAACUCGGGUGAAGGAACUAGGCAAAAUGGUGCCGUAACUUCGGGAGAAGGCACGCUGAUAUGUAGGUGAAGUCCCUUGCGGAUGGAGCUGAAAUCAGUCGAAGAUACCAGCUGGCUGCAACUGUUUAUUAAAAACACAGCACUGUGCAAACACGAAAGUGGACGUAUACGGUGUGACGCCUGCCCGGUGCCGGAAGGUUAAUUGAUGGGGUUAGCGGUAACGCGAAGCUCUUGAUCGAAGCCCCGGUAAACGGCGGCCGUAACUAUAACGGUCCUAAGGUAGCGAAAUUCCUUGUCGGGUAAGUUCCGACCUGCACGAAUGGCGUAAUGAUGGCCAGGCUGUCUCCACCCGAGACUCAGUGAAAUUGAACUCGCUGUGAAGAUGCAGUGUACCCGCGGCAAGACGGAAAGACCCCGUGAACCUUUACUAUAGCUUGACACUGAACAUUGAGCCUUGAUGUGUAGGAUAGGUGGGAGGCUUUGAAGUGUGGACGCCAGUCUGCAUGGAGCCGGCCUUGAAAUACCACCCUUUAAUGUUU
rnacentral:rRNA from 1 species